rnacentral:misc_RNA from 1 species
UUUCCAUAGGUGAACCUGCGGAAGGAUCAUUACCGAGUGAGGGCCCUCUGGGUCCAACCUCCCACCCGUGUUUAUCGUACCUUGUUGCUUCGGCGGGCCCGCCUCACGGCCGCCGGGGGGCACCCGCCCCCGGGCCCGCGCCCGCCGAAGACACCAUUGAACGCUGUCUGAAGAUUGCAGUCUGAGCAUCUUAGCUAAAUCAGUUAAAACUUUCAACAACGGAUCUCUUGGUUCCG